rnacentral:piRNA from 1 species
UUCAAGGACAGGAGCUGUAGAUGCAACA